UACGUAGGGUGCGAGCGUUGUCCGGAAUUAUUGGGCGUAAAGAGCUCGUAGGCGGUUGGGUAAGUCGGGUGUGAAAACUCCAGGCUCAACUUGGAGACGCCACCCGAUACUGCUCUGACUUGAGUUCGGUAGGGGAGUGGGGAAUUCCUGGUGUAGCGGUGAAAUGCGCAGAUAUCAGGAGGAACACCGGUGGCGGAAAGGCGCCACUCUGGGCCGAAACUGACGCUGAGGGGCGAAAGCGUGGGUAGCAAACAGG
rnacentral:rRNA from 1 species